rnacentral:tRNA from 1 species
AAACAUUAGAUUGUGAAUCUAAUAAUAAAAGCCCAAGUCUUUUUAUUUACC